AUAUUGUUUUGGCAUCGAACAGAGCCGGAAUCCCCAUCUCUCUCGUUCCUCUGCACGCCUCUCAAACCCUAUACGCCGCCUGCCUCAUGCCCUGUCCGACGCCGCAUCACCACCUGGCCGCCGCCGCAGGCCCCUUCCUUCCCUCGUACGCGACGCUGCCGCCGUACCUUCGGCGGUGCGUUUGACGCGCUCGGGCGAGCUUCUGGUGCUCGGGGCAAGUUUUCCCGGUUUCUGCGCCUCCUGUGAAUGGAGGAGUUGGAGGCGCGGAGGCCCGGUCAUCCUUCCGAAUUUCCCGAUGCAGAGACGGUGCGAUGGUAGCUGACUUCCAUGGCCGGCCUCUGUCGAGGCCUGAUGACAAACUGGUGAGUUGAUCUGACUGAUGGGAGGGGCGGUCCGUCGCCGCCCUGCGCCGGUGACUGUUCUCUAUAGACUCCAGGACGGCAAUAUAAUUGUCGCAGAUCUACCGGAGGCGCAUCCCUCUAUGGCGUUGACCGCGACAGAUCUGAAGGUACCGGUGGGUGACUCAGAUCUGCAAGGAGAGACGUGCCGGUCUCCACUGCUAGGGCCUUGGCUAGUGGCUGAUACAUGCUACCGGCGAUGUGAUUAACCAGAGGUAAUUUUGCUAUAACCCGGUGGCUGUGGUGGCACGGUGGGUCGAUCGAGUUCUCCCACUGAGAAAUUUGGAUCUAGCUUUCUCGUCUACCUACCCCAGGCGAGCUCCCUAGCCUUAUAAUGCGGCUACUGUUUGAUGUCUGUAGCAGAAGCCUAGAUCUGUUUGAUCUGCUAUGAUCUACUGUAGCCUUGGCUGAAGAUAAGCCAUAAUCAGCUUCAGAUCUCUGAUGCAGGAUGAUGACAUCCGCAUGCGAGGUAGUGGUUUGGAGCAGGCCAGUGAGGUGCAAUGGUUGCCUGAGGAGAUUGAUAUUUUGCUUGGAGGCUAGCCAUGAUAAUCGAUAAAAUACCACAAGGAACAGACUUACUGGUUUUUGGAUAGUUUGAUAAAAUUAUAUGGCUUAAAUGUUUUUAUUGGUACCAAGGUAAUUAAGUGUGACCAUGUUAUUUUGUGGCUAUUUUUUAUAAUAAUAAUAAUAAUUAUUCACUUUUAUCGAUUAUUUUUCUAUUUGUUCUACAUGUCUAUGAUUUUAGAUUAGUGCAAAUUAAGCCUUACAGAUGAUGAUAUGUGAUUCCAUGUUUAUCACUCACAAUUUUACUCACUCCGUUUUCUUUUUAAAAGGUGUAUAUAAUUUAUAGAAAUAUAAUUUUUCUAUUUUUUUAACAAGUUUAUAGAAUUUAUAGAAAAAGGAAUAUCAAUUUCAAUAAUACUAAUAAAUAAAUAAAUACGAAAAUAUAUUAUGGAUAUAGCAUUUGAUGUGAAGGACGGGCCCCAACUUGUGCCAAGAGGUCCUGGGUUUGACGUGGCCUCUCUGCAUUGCACUGUGUAGGGGUAAGGGUUGCCUUGUAUAAUCCUUCCUCAGACCCCCUACCUCCUGUGGGGCCUUUUAGCACGUUAGUCAAUGAUCCAUGUGGUAUUUUGGUUGUCGAUAUUUUAUUAUCAUUUUCUACAAACGAAACUUAGAGAAAUUGACUUUUGAAAGAGAUUAGUACACACUAUUGUAAAUUUAGGCUGUGUUUGGCAUUGCCGUGGAUUAUUACAUUCCAGCUUUUGCCUAUUUUAUUGUCUGCUCAUCUUUUUUCCUUACUGCAGUGAUUAUUGCAGAGUAGUUAACACUAAUCAUAGUUCAGCAAUCCACAAACUAAGCCUCGGUAUACAUUUUUAAACAAGAUAAUAGCCUACACAUGUUAUUUCUUAAUCAAGUAACUAGCUAAAUUAACCAUAUAACUAUGUUAGCAUUGUACAAUUAUUAUUAUAGAACUAUAAUAUUUAUUAAAUUUUAGGUAUAUGCGUUGUACAUGUUUUAUGAUUGUACAUCAGUGAGAAACUACACAUCGUUGGACAAGAUGAUGUUUGUACAUGUAUGUUAUCACGGCGACUAGUAUAAUAUACUACUCCCUCCCUUCACAAAUAUAAGAUGUUCUAACUUCUUUGUAAAUAGGAUGGAUAUAGACACAUUUUAGUGUGUUUGUUCAUUCAUUUCUGUCUGUAUGUAGUCUAUAUUGGAAUAUCCAAAACAUCUUAUAAUUAUGAACCGAGGGAGUACAUAACUGUGUUGAUAUUGUACAAUUGAAACUUGACUGUAUAUGCUGUAGAUGUCUUAUGAUUUUACAUUAUGAGAAAAUAAUAAGUUUAUUAAGACAUAAUUGUACAUGCUUUAUAUAUAUUACGAUAUGAUUCUACAUCGUGGGAAAAUGAGUUUUGAAUAUCAUACUUCUAAUGUUCCUCAUUAAAAAUAUAUUUAUUAUAGUGUUAAUUCUUUAAAAUUUAAGGGCAUGUUUUGUUCUGAUGAUAUGUAGGAAUAGACACAAGAAUAAGGUAGAAAUGCGUGUGAUAAGAAAACAUAGGAAUUUUGUCAACUGUAUUUGGUUCACAAAACUCGGGAUUAUUAAUAAAAAUGUGGUCAAAUCUAGGAUGCUAUUACGCAAUUAAAGACCUCGGUAGUAGGAGUUCGGAAAAUGAGGUCCAGAUGGUUUUUGCGGGGAUGUUCUGCAUUGCAGAGUAAGUGUGGCAGUUGUAGGAACUUGGUCAUUUUAGUUCUACGUGCCUAUUAUUUUCCAUCAUUGCAAAAUAAACCACUCAUAUUUUUAUCUCUUGAUUUAUGAACUGGUUUGGGAGCGAUGCACAUUCUUACCACUCAUGUUCAAGUAUUUAUGGCUUCGGUGCUAAUGAAAUGUGCAGUUCUGUGUUAGUAUUUUAUUUUGUGUUACUUUUACCAUAGAAGUGUAAGAAGGGUCAAUUAUUUUUUUGUUUAUACAGAUGUAGUCGUACCUCUUGGUAGAUAGAAAAGUUAGGAGCAAUAUGCUGUAGUUAUUAGCAUAGCAGAUGUAUGUUUCCAUCGUUUCAUGAGUUGACAGUCACCAUUUUUUCUUGUUAUUACAUGUUGCGUAUAGUUGUAUCUGUUAUACAACUUCCACGUUCAUCAUUGGAAAUAUAGUUGUCUGUUAAACAUCUCUAUGGCCCUUUUGUAUAACCUGACCUUAUAUAAACAGGCGGUCUAGCUGUGAAUAUUUGCUUUUUUCUCUCUGUUAAAGCAUGUUUAAAAUUUUCCAAUUUCUGUGACAUUAUUUUGCCUCAAAAGCAAGCGAGGUGCAUUGAAUCUGACUAGCAGUUUGAAGUUCAUAUUAACUAUACAGAAGUAUAGGAGGGUAGCUUAAUUGUUAUAUCAUGUUGUAUUCAAAUCUUUAUUAUGCGAUGAGCCUUACAGAAUGUUAUUAUAUGCAAGCCAGCACGAGGCGUGAUGGUGUUUCCUCCUUCACCUCAAAUAUGUGCAACUAGAUGAGGCCAGCAUUAGGCGUGUUGGCGUUUCCUCCUUCACCUCAAAUAUGUGCAACUAGAUGAGCGCCGGGAGGCCAUGGGAGUCGCGGUCGCACACAAACCCGUUAUGAGCCUUUCGGCCGCGCAUCCUUGUUGCCGCCAGGAGUGCCGAAGCACGACGGGCAGACAAUGUGUGUCCUUUGCUCACGUCCGUCGAGGCAAGCGAUGAGGCCAACAACGGCGACGUGUGGGAGGAUGGAUGGAAUGCUCGAGGUUGCCUCCGGGCGACAACCAUUGUUGGCGUCCGUCCGAGCAAGGGAUGAGGCCCAUGACGGCGACCACGGACCAGUGUGACACUGCCGAGCGCCGUCCUCACCGCAGUACAUAGUUGUUGAGCUGUCGAGCCCCACCUCUUCUGGAUCUAUCUGGCGAGCAGCAGGACACCGCCAAUCUCCACGGCCAGGAACCCGCAAGGUAGAGAGUGAAGGGGAAGAGGGAGACGACGGUGGGAUCUGUGCUUGCUUGUGCCACCAUGGACCUCGAGUUGCUUUGCUUCUCAUCUCCUCACCAUGUGCCGCUGUUCUUCUUUCUUUCCCUAGAGCGGGACGAAGGGUUGAGCAGGGGUAGAGCGCUACCAAAUUUUGGGGAAAACCGAGAGUGGGACAAAGGGGCUGCAUGCUUGUUGCCACGGACAGGCCAAUAUUCCGCUUUGAUCCCCAGCCUGAAUACCAUGACCUGCCAAACAACAAACAUUUGGGUAUCCCAAUGCCAAUGUCUAAUGCUGGGCCUCAUCAUCAACCUCCAAACGGUGUGUUAUCAAAAGACACUUGUAUUAUGGUGAGCUUGUAAUUAGCUUCACAAGAAGCACCUUCUGGAUUCUAUUGUUGAUCAGGUUUGAUAAAAAAAUUCAACAAGUAAGAGAACUUAACCAUCGCAGAAUAUCACAUGGGCAUGCACAUAGCAGACAGGUGACAGGUAAUAUGUGAGCACGGCAGGUUUUCUUUUCUGUGAUAUAAGAGACUCUAUUGUCACUACUUAUUAUUCUUUGAUAAUUGGUUGGGCUACUACUACACUGAAGGUAUAAAAUAUGUGCAGGAAGCAUCACCACAGCUAGCAUAGGAUACGAGUAAAAUCCUGAUUGCACAGGAGACUCUCCCUCCUUUCCGGUUUAUUAGGCCUCCAAAGCUCAAGAGCUUUGCAUAUUUGUUAGGCCUAAGAGUUUCGCAUAUUUAUCACCACAGCUAGCAUAGGAUACGAGUAAAAUCCUGAUUGCACAGGAGACUCUCCCUCCUUUCCGGUUUAUUAGGCCUCCAAAGCUCAAGAGCUUUGCAUAUUUGUUAGGCCUAGUCCUGGCCAUGGGAAGCCCGGCCCGACCCGGCCCGAAAAAGCCUGGCCCGGCCUGGCCCGACGCUACCUCCGGGCCGGGCUCGGGCCUAGUUUUUGAGCCUGAAGGCCGGGCUGGGCCCGGGCUCGUCAUUUUUGCAGUUUACUGAAGGUCGGGCCGGGCCGGCCUGAAGCCUGAUGGGCUUUUAGGUGUUCGGGCCGGGCUCGGGCCCAGAAACACAGGCCUGAUGGCCGGGCCCGGGCCUGGAUUUUUUGUGUCGGGCUUGGCCAGGCCCGGCCCGAAGCCCGGCCCGGCCUGAGGUUUGGCCAAGUAUAGUUAGGCCUAAGAGUUUCGCAUAUUUGUGCCUGUACCAGAUUGCCAGGAAAAGUUAAAAAACGAGUACUUUUUUUUUUGCUGUAA